rnacentral:rRNA from 1 species
AUGUUGAACCAAAUGAAAGUUCCACGCGAGAUGCCACCACCAAAACAUGCUUAUGGCCUUGCGAUGAGUAUAUGGUGCGUGUGGGCAUUUGAGAUAAGUGUGAACAAGGCCGGCCUUGGUCCCUACCUUUCAGAUAAGUGUGAACAACGCCAACUUCUCACUGAAUCUUUUGUCAAAGGAUUUAAAUAUUUUCCACGUGAGUCUAGGGUGUCGUUUAUGCUUUAUGAUAGACCUUUUACCAUCUCACUAGAGAAUUUUGCUUAUCACUGCAAACUUCAAUUUUGGGGUUCGCUUGACGAACCACCAAAGGUUGAGUUCGAAACAUUCUUGACAAGUCUUUGUUACGGUGAAAGGAGGGGAGUGACACAAGCUAGAAUAAAGAGCAUUCAUUUUCCCGCAAUUCAGUACUUUGCAUUAUUCAACGGGAAAUGUAUAGUAGGCAAACAAGACUGUAGUACGCUCUGUGCUCCAGACUUGAGCCUCAUAUGCACUGCUCUCACUGGUGAAAGGAAUUAUAACCUUGGUGCAAUUGUUGCACGCAGACUUCAGCAUAACGCUAACAGUGGCUGGUUCUAUGGUGGAAUUUAUGCCACACGUUUAGCAUGA